GACCUGGAGGCGGAGUGGUCGGCGUUUGCUCAAAAUGUGUGGGGGAAAGCAAUGCCUGUGCAGAAGAUCCCCGUUCGAUUCGGGGCUAGGUCA